rnacentral:rRNA from 1 species
GCGUGAGUGAUGACGGCCUUAGGGUUGUAAAGCUCUUUCGCCCGCGACGAUAAUGACGGUAGCGGGAGAAGAAGCCCCGGCUAACUUCGUGCCAGCAGCCGCGGUAAUACGAAGGGGGCUAGCGUUGUUCGGAAUCACUGGGCGUAAAGGGUGCGCAGGCGGAUCCUUGAGUCAGGGGUGAAAGGCCGGGGCUCAACCCCGGAACGGCCUUUGAUACUGGGGAUCUUGAGUCCGGAAGAGGUGGGUGGAACUGCGAGUGUAGAGGUGAAAUUCGU